rnacentral:rRNA from 1 species
GACGAACGCUGGCGGCGUGCUUAACACAUGCAAGUCGAACGGAAAGGCCCUGCUUUUGUGGGGUGCUCGAGUGGCGAACGGGUGAGUAACACGUGAGUAACCUGCCCUUGACUUUGGGAUAACUUCAGGAAACUGGGGCUAAUACCGGAUAGGAGCUCCUGCUGCAUGGUGGGGGUUGGAAAGUUUCGGCGGUUGGGGAUGGACUCGCGGCUUAUCAGCUUGUUGGUGGGGUAGUGGCUUACCAAGGCUUUGACGGGUAGCCGGCCUGAGAGGGUGACCGGCCACAUUGGGACUGAGAUACGGCCCAGCCUCCUACGGGAGGCAGCAGUGGGGAAUAUUGCACAAUGGGAGGAAGCCUGAUGCAGCAACGCCGCGUGCGGGAUGACGGCCUUCGGGUUGUAAACCGCUUUCGCCUGUGACGAGGCGUGAGUGACGGUAAUGGGUAAAGAAGCACCGGCUAACUACGUG